UACGUAGGGUGCAAGCGUUGUCCGGAAUUAUUGGGCGUAAAGAGCUCGUAGGCGGUUUGUCGCGUCUGCUGUGAAAACUCAGGGCUUAACUCUGAGCUUGCAGUGGGUACGGGCAGACUAGAGUGCGGUAGGGGAGACUGGAAUUCCUGGUGUAGCGGUGAAAUGCGCAGAUAUCAGGAGGAACACCGGUGGCGAAGGCGGGUCUCUGGGCCGCUACUGACGCUGAGGAGCGAAAGCGUGGGGAGCGAACAGG
rnacentral:rRNA from 1 species